rnacentral:rRNA from 1 species
UACGAAGGGUGCUAGCGUUGUUCGGAAUCACUGGGCGUAAAGCGCGCGCAGGCGGCUUUUCAAGUCAGAGGUGAAAGCCUGGAGCUCAACUCCAGAAUUGCCUUUGAAACUGCAAAGCUAGAGUGUCGGAGGGGAUAGCGGAAUUGCUAAUGUAGAGGUGAAAUUCGUAGAUAUUAGCAGGAACACCGGUGGCGAAGGCGGCUAUCUGGACGACAACUGACGCUGAGGCGCGAAAGCGUGGGGAUCAAACAGGAUUAGAUACCCUGGUAGUCCACGCCGUAAACGAUGGGUGCUAGCCGUUGGGGGGUUACCUCUCAGUGGCGCAGCUAACGCGUUAAGCACCCCGCCUGGGGAGUACGGUCGCAAGAUUA